CUGAACAUCCAUAUACUCGCAUCAUCCCUUGCAGAACAACCUGAAAUGUUCACUGUUAUCUUCCUCAGCCCAAUCACCUACCUCAUCAUCACCAGUAGCCAUCAUCUUGGCACCUUCCAAGGGCUAAAUCUCUCUCUUCUCCUGCAUACAGAACUGCUGGAACUCCAGGUUUUGGAGCGAAAACUGUUGCUGUGAAUCCUUCUGAGAAGAAAGGGGAGAGGGAGUGAGGGAGGAGGAAAGGACUCUGGCCUCCUCCCUCCUAAGCCAUGUUUCUGGUCUCACUGAGACCAGCAUUACUCAAGAGACACUUCAAGGAAGAAUAUGGAAUGACUCCAGAUUAACAUGGGGGCAAAUAAAAUCAGGAUAUGUCCCUCUGGGGAAGGGGUUUCAGUUGUUGCUAAAUGGGGGAGAAGCCCUCAGUCUCUGUCUGACUGUGUCUCUCUCUCUUCUCAGGAUAUUCAGGUUGAGCGUCCUGGUUCAGACGCUGCUGCCUGCAUUGUGAUCUGGGAGCCCAGACUGAGCAGCUGCUGCUCCCCCGGUGGGGUCUGGGCUCGGCAGUGACUUGGAGUGAAGCUUCCUCUGUGCCCAGGCAAGGCUACAGAAUAACGUCCACGUUUCGCCCCAAAUCAUCCCCUCCUCCCAGGGGGAAGGAAAU